rnacentral:rRNA from 1 species
UAAGGGCGCACGGUGGAUGCCUUGGCACUAGAAGCCGAUGAAGGACGUUACUAACGACGAUAUGCUUUGGGGAGCUGUAAGUAAGCUUUGAUCCAGAGAUUUCCGAAUGGGGAAACCCAGCAUGAGUUAUGUCAUGUUAUCGAUAUGUGAAUACAUAGCAUAUCAGAAGGCACACCCGGAGAACUGAAACAUCUUAGUACCCGGAGGAAGAGAAAGAAAAUUCGAUUCCCUUAGUAGCGGCGAGCGAAACGGGAAGAGCCCAAACCAACAAGCUUGCUUGUUGGGGUUGUAGGACACUCUAUACGGAGUUACAAAGGACGACAUUAGACGAAUCAUCUGGAAAGAUGAAUCAAAGAAGGUAAUAAUCCUGUAGUCGAAAAUGUUGUCUCUCUUGAGUGGAUCCUGAGUACGACGGAGCACGUGAAAUUCCGUCGGAAUCUGGGAGGACCAUCUCCUAAGGCUAAAUACUCUCUAGUGACCGAUAGUGAACCAGUACCGUGAGGGAAAGGUGAAAAGCACCCCGGAAGGGGAGUGAAAUAGAACCUGAAACCGUGUGCUUACAAGUAGUCAGAGCCCGUUAAUGGGUGAUGGCGUGCCUUUUGUAGAAUGAACCGGCGAGUUACGAUUUGAUGCAAGGUUAAGCAGUAAAUGUGGAGCCGUAGCGAAAGCGAGUCUGAAUAGGGCGUUUAGUAUUUGGUCGUAGACCCGAAACCAGGUGAUCUACCCUUGGUCAGGUUGAAGUUCAGGUAACACUGAAUGGAGGACCGAACCGACUUACGUUGAAAAGUGAGCGGAUGAACUGAGGGUAGCGGAGAAAUUCCAAUCGAACCUGGAGAUAGCUGGUUCUCUCCGAAAUAGCUUUAGGGCUAGCCUCAAGUGAUGAUUAUUGGAGGUAGAGCACUGUUUGGACGAGGGGCCCCUCUCGGGUUACCGAAUUCAGACAAACUCCGAAUGCCAAUUAAUUUAACUUGGGAGUCAGAACAUGGGUGAUAAGGUCCGUGUUCGAAAGGGAAACAGCCCAGACCACCAGCUAAGGUCCCAAAAUAUAUGUUAAGUGGAAAAGGAUGUGGCGUUGCCCAGACAACUAGGAUGUUGGCUUAGAAGCAGCCAUCAUUUAAAGAGUGCGUAAUAGCUCACUAGUCGAGUGACACUGCGCCGAAAAUGUACCGGGGCUAAACAUAUUACCGAAGCUGUGGAUUGUCCUUUGGACAAUGGUAGGAGAGCGUUCUAAGGGCGUUGAAGCAUGAUCGUAAGGACAUGUGGAGCGCUUAGAAGUGAGAAUGCCGGUGUGAGUAGCGAAAGACGGGUGAGAAUCCCGUCCACCGAUUGACUAAGGUUUCCAGAGGAAGGCUCGUCCGCUCUGGGUUAGUCGGGUCCUAAGCUGAGGCCGACAGGCGUAGGCGAUGGAUAACAGGUUGAUAUUCCUGUACCACCUAUAAUCGUUUUAAUCGAUGGGGGGACGCAGUAGGAUAGGCGAAGCGUGCGAUUGGAUUGCACGUCUAAGCAGUAAGGCUGAGUAUUAGGCAAAUCCGGUACUCGUUA